UAGGGAAUCUUCCACAAUGGACGCAAGUCUGAUGGAGCAACGCCGCGUGAGUGAAGAAGGUUUUCGGAUCGUAAAGCUCUGUUGUUGGUGAAGAAGGAUAGAGGCAGUAACUGGUCUUUAUUUGACGGUAAUCAACCAGAAAGUCACGGCUAACUACGUGCCAGCAGCCGCGGUAAUACGUAGGUGGCAAGCGUUGUCCGGAUUUAUUGGGCGUAAAGCGAGCGCAGGCGGAAUGAUAAGUCUGAUGUGAAAGCCCACGGCUCAACCGUGGAAAUGCAUCGGAAACUGUCAUUCUUGAGUGCAGAAGAGGAGAGUGGAAUUCCAUGUGUAGCGGUGGAAUGCGUAGAUAUAUGGAAGAACACCAGUGGCGAAGGCGGCUCUCUGGUCUGCAACUGACGCUGAGGCUCGAAAGCAUGGGUAGCGAACAGG
rnacentral:rRNA from 2 species